UCCCCAGUUCUCCCAGCUUGCUCGGCUCGGAGGUUUCCUCCUCCAGCGGCUCAUUUCAUGGCUGGUCGCCAGCGCUGGGACCAAAACACAGCUCUUUCCUGCCUUCUCAGGCGACCGCUUUACGUCGCUGUAGGAAUUACUACUGUUUUACUGUGACACACUGUGGAGCAAGCAGGAGAGUAUUGGCGUUUUUGAACUUUGGUGUUGGAGAAAAUUCCUGAGAAUACUGUGGACAGCCAAGAAAAUGGAUCAUCAAGCACAUUAACACAAUUUUCAUUGGAGGCACAAAUGACCAGGCUCAAAUUAUGCUACUUUCAACACAUGAAGACUCAGAUCUCUGGAAAAGGCUCUAAUACUGGAAAGGUGGAAAGAAAGAGAAGAGAAUGACAAACAGUAAGUUAGAUGGACUUCGAUGUGGUGAUGAGUGCACCAUGAGAAGACCUGAAGGAUCAGAUCAGGGACAGAUUAUCAUGAAAAAAAAAUCUACGUGGUCACUAGGAGUCAAACAAAACUUGAUGGCAGAUAAUAAAAAAAUCUAUUUUAAGUUCUCCCCAAAACCAGUUUUUACAGUAUCAAAACAAUCUGUUUUGAAGUGGAUCACAGAUUUGUUUAGCCUCAAAAAUUGGCUUGAAAAGAUUAAAUUUUUGAAAGUCAAUGUUAAAUUUAAAUUAAAGCCAAGCUAUUUCAAAAUA